UGAGUGAUAGUUCAGUUUGGUGUAGAGCAUGAGACUCUUAAUCUCAGAGUUGUUGGUUUGAGUCCCAAGCUGGUUGAG